rnacentral:tRNA from 1 species
GGGGAUAUAGCUUAGUGGUAGAGCACCCCUGGAUUCAAUCCCCAGUAUCCUCC